GGCGUAAGGGCUCUCAGGCGGUUUCUUAGUCUGAUGUGAAAGCCCCCGGCUCCACCGGGGAGGGUCAUUGGAAACUGGGGAACUUGAGUGCAGAAGAGGAGAGAGGAAUUCCACGUGUAGCGGUGAAAUGCGUAGAGAUGUGGAGGAACACCAGUGGCGAAGGCGACUCUCUGGUCUGUAACUGACGCUGAGGAGCGAAAGCGUGGGGAGCGAACAGGAUUAGAUACCCUGGUAGUCCACGCCGUAAACGAUGAGUGCUAAGUGUUAGGGGGUUUCCGCCCCUUAGUGCUGCAGCUAACGCAUUAAGCACUCCGCCUGGGGAGUACGGUCGCAAGACUGAAACUCAAAGGAAUUGACGGGGGCCCGCACAAGCGGUGGAGCAUGUGGUUUAAUUCGAAGCAACGCGAAGAACCUUACCAGGUCUUGACAUCCUCUGACAAUCCUAGAGAUAGGACGUCCCCUUCGGGGGCAGAGUGACAGGUGGUGCAUGGUUGUCGUCAGCUCGUGUCGUGAGAUGUUGGGUUAAUUCCCGCAACGAGCGCAACCCUUGAUCUUAGUUGCCAGCAUUCAGUUGGGCACUCUAAGGUGACUGCCGGUGACAAACCGGAGGAAGGUGGGGAUGACGUCAAAUCAUCAUGCCCCUUAUGACCUGGGCUACACACGUGCUACAAUUGAACAAAACAAAGGGCACGAAACCCGCGAGGUUUAGCCAAUCCCACAAAAUCUGUUCUCAGUUCCGGAUCACAAUUCGUGCAACUCAAAUGGGUUG
rnacentral:rRNA from 1 species